rnacentral:rRNA from 1 species
GACGAACGCUGGCGGCGUGCUUAACACAUGCAAGUCGCACGGAAACGCCCUGCUUUUGUGGGGUCCCCGAGUGGCGAAGGGGUGCGUAACACGAGAGUAUCCCGACCUUGCCUUUGAGAUAACGUCAGGCCACUGGGGGUCAUACCGGUAAGGAGCUUCUGCUGUUUGGUGGGGGUUGGAAAGUUGCGGCGCUUGGGGAUGGACUCGCGGCUUAUCAGCUUGUUGGUGGGGUGGUGGCUUACCAAGGCUUUGGCGGGUAGCCGGCCUGAGAGUGUGACCGGCCACAUGGGGACUGAGAUACGGCCCGGACUACUACGGGAGGCAGGAGUGGGGAAGAAUGCACAAUGGGCGGAAGUCUGAUGCAGCAACGCCGCGUGCGGGAUUACGGCCUGCUGGUUGGAGACGGCUUUCGCCUCUGACGGAGCGUGAGUGACGGUAAUGGGUAAAGAAGCACCGGCUAACUACGUG